rnacentral:rRNA from 1 species
GAUGAACGCUGGCGGUAUGCUUAACACAUGCAAGUCGAACGGUGUUUUCGGACACAGUGGCGGACGGGUGAGUAACGCGUGAGAAUCUAGCUUCAGGUCGGGGACAACCACUGGAAACGGUGGCUAAUACCGGAUGUGCCGGAAGGUGAAAGAUUAAUUGCCUGAAGAUGAGCUCGCGUCUGAUUAGCUAGUAGGUGUGGUAAGAGCGCACCUAGGCGACGAUCAGUAGCUGGUCUGAGAGGAUGAUCAGCCACACUGGGACUGAGACACGGCCCAGACGCCUACGGGAGGCAGCAGUGGGGAAUUUUCCGCAAUGGGCGAAAGCCUGACGGAGCAAUACCGCGUGAGGGAGGAAGGCUCUUGGGUUGUAAACCUCUUUUCUCAGGGAAGAACACAAUGACGGUACCUGAGGAAUCAGCAUCGGCUAACUCCGUGCCAGCCGCCGCCGUAACAC